rnacentral:lncRNA from 1 species
CCGCCCUCACCUCGAGCUGGCGCUGCCUCCCCGCGCUGCCGGCGCUGCCGCCUUGCCUCGCCCGCCGCUCGGCCGCCCGUCCCCGUGGUGCCGGGCCCCGCCGAGGGGCAGUCGGACAGCCCUCGCCCUCACCCCCCGACGCGGGGAAGCGGACAGCGGGAGGAGAGCAUCGCUCGGCGCGCCGCGGCUGGAGGUCUCCGGGGAUGGACCGCGCUUCGCCCCCCGCCUCCGCCUGCCCGCCGAGAGGAGGGCGGUGACCGAGCGACGAGGAACAGAAGCACCCGCCCGCGCCGCGGGGUCGGAGCGACCCUUCUGCCGCCCGGUUAAAUGUUACGGCUCUCUCCGGCUGCUCCCCGCCGCCGCCGCCCCGCGCGUCGCUCACCUCGGGAGGGGGCAGAAAAGGCGGGCGACAGAACCCGCCCCGGCUGCGGCGCGCCGAGAGGGAGCGCCCGGCUCCGCCGCCAGUAAGCGAGCAGCAGAGCUGGAAGCCUUGGCAGUAAGUUCUUUGUCUUUCCUGCUUGUAUCCAUGGAUCCUGGAUUUUGCAAGCAUUGCAGCCUAAUCUUUGGUAUGGAAUUUUGCAGUGAGAGCUCAUCAUAGUAAAAUACCAUGCUGCAUUUCAUUAAUCAGAAAGUGUAUGAGCAGGAAACAAAAGGAAUAACUUUGUAUAUUAUUACUGUCAAUACAAGGGUGAUACUUGAGCUACAGUAGUAAUAAAAGGUAAAAGAAG